rnacentral:rRNA from 1 species
UAGGGAAUCUUCGGCAAUGGACGAAAGUCUGACCGAGCAACGCCGCGUGAGUGAAGAAGGUUUUCGGAUCGUAAAACUCUGUUGUUAGAGAAGAACAAGGACGUUAGUAACUGAACGUCCCCUGACGGUAUCUAACCAGAAAGCCACGGCUAACUACGUGCCAGCAGGCGCGGUAAUUCGUAGGUGGGAAGCGUUGGCCGGAUUUAUUGGGCGUAAAGCGAGCGCAGGCGGUUUCUUAAGGCUGAUGUGGAAGCCCCCGGCUCAACCGGGGAGGGUCAUUGGAUAUUGGGUGACAUCCUUGCAGAAGAGGAGAGUGGAAUUCUAUGUGUAGCGGUGAAAUGCGUGGAUAUAUGGAGGAACACCUGUGGUGAAUGCAGCUCUCUUGUCUGUAACUGACGCUGAGGCUCGAAAGCGUGGGGGGCAAACAGG